AUGCUUGCUUUGGUAGCAUAUAUGUUACAAUUGAUGUGAUACAGAGAAUAUUAAUAUGGCCUCUGUGCAAGGAUUAUAGGCCAAUUCUUGAAGGAUUCCAUAUUUUU